rnacentral:rRNA from 1 species
AACGAACGCUGGCGGCAUGCCUAACACAUGCAUGUCGAACGAGACCUUCGGGUCUAGUGGCGCACGGGUGCGUAACGCGUGGGAAUCUGCCCUUAGGUUCGGAAUAACUUCGGGAAACUGAAGCUAAUACCGGAUGAUGACGUAAGUCCAAAGAUUUAUCGCCUAAGGAUGAGCCCGCGUUGGAUUGGCUAGUUGGUGAGGUAAAGGCUCACCAAGGCGACGAUCCAUAGCUGGUCUGAGAGGAUGAUCAGCCACACUGGGACUGAGACACGGCCCAGACUCCUACGGGAGGCAGCAGUGGGGAAUAUUGGACAAUGGGCGGCAAGCCUGAUCCAGCAAUGCCGCGUGCAGGAUGAAGGCC